ACUCCUGAAGUGGGUGUGGUUCCUGAGACUAUUAAAGAUCAUGAUAUAGUUCUACAAGAUAAUUCAAGUACUGCCAAUGAAACCGAUGCAGCUCAAUCUGGUAUGUACCGUAUAUUGGGUAUAUUUCAAUGCAUGGAAAGUGGUGUAAAUGUAAAGUUCAAUGAUGGAUAAAUUCGGAAGCCCUUUAUAUUCCAAAAAUAUUUUACUUGCUAUUAUUUCCAUGAACCACCUGGCCUGCAACACUUCUGACUGGCAAAGAAGGCUCUUUAUGGCCUUCGAGUUAGAAGCCAUGAAGCCAUGGAUAGUUAAAAAGUCAUGUGUUCAUAUUAAUUGCACAAUACCACAUAUCUUCUAUUUCUUUUUA